ensembl:snRNA U6 U6 spliceosomal RNA
GUGCUCGCUUCGGCAGCACAAAUACUAACCCUGGAACGAUACAGAGAAGAUUAGCAUGGCCCCUGUGCAACACUGACAGGCAAAUUCGUGAAGCGUUCCACAUUUAA